rnacentral:rRNA from 1 species
UAGGGAAUUUUGCGCAAUGGGCGAAAGCCUGACGCAGCAACGCCGCGUGAGCGAUGAAGCCCUUUGGGGUGUAAAGCUCUGUCAGUGGGGACGAAUUUUGACGGUACCCACAGAGGAAGCAUCGGCUAACUACGUGCCAGCAGCCGCGGUAAGACGUAGGAUGCAAGCGUUGUCCGGAAUUAUUGGGCGUAAAGAGUUCGUAGGUGGUAUGUUAAGUCUGGUGUUAAAUCCCGAAGCUCAACUUCGGAUCAGCACUGGAUACUGACAAACUAGAGUGCAGUAGAGGCAAGGGGAAUUCCUAGUGUAGCGGUGAAAUGCGUAGAUAUUAGGAGGAACACCGGUGGCGUAAGCGCCUUGCUGGGCUGUAACUGACGCUGAGGAACGAAAGCCAGGGGAGCAAAUG